UUUUUUUUUUUCUUUUUUUAAAAUUUCUCCUGAUAAAUAAUUUCAUUUUAGGCCCCAUGCCGUCUUUCCCUGAUUUGAUAUUUCCCCUUUAAUAGUAAUACCCCCUCCAAAAAACCUCAAUUUUCAAACCCUAAUUUCCCUUCCGUACACAUCUUCCGGUCUUUUAACCGGUCUCCGGUGACUAGCCUCUCUUUGCCAGCUUUCUUUUUCAGCUCCUCCGAUUCUUCGAUCGUCGCCGUUGGAUCAUUUGUGGAUUUGGAGCGGGAGAUCAGGGUUUUUAGGUUUAGGAUUCGGAUCCGGGAGGGAAAAGAUGAGUAAUCAGAAGAAGAGGAACUUCCAAAUAGAGGCGUUUAAGCACCGGGUCGUGGUGGAUCCGAAAUACGCUGAUAAGACCUGGAAGAUUCUGGAACAUGCUAUUCAUGAGAUUUACAAUCAUAACGCUAGUGGUCUCAGUUUUGAAGAGCUUUAUAGGAAUGCCUAUAAUAUGGUGCUUCACAAAUUUGGUGAAAAGUUAUAUUCUGGUCUGGUCUCAACUAUGACUUUACAUCUUAAAGAAAUAUCAAAAUCUAUUGAGGCUGCUCAGGGAGAUUCAUUUUUAGAGGAGCUGAACAGGAAAUGGAAUGACCAUAACAAAGCAUUGCAAAUGAUUAGGGAUAUAUUGAUGUACAUGGAUAGGACAUAUAUUCCAAGCACGCAUAAAACUCCAGUUCAUGAGCUUGGACUAAACUUGUGGAGGGAUAAUAUCAUACACUCGAGCAAAAUCCAAACCAGGCUUCUUAAUACACUUCUUGAACUUGUUCACAGAGAACGGACUGUUGAAGUUAUAGACAGAGGAUUGAUGAGGAACAUAAUCAAGAUGCUUAUGGAUUUAGGUUCUUCAGUUUACCAAGAAGACUUUGAGAAGCCAUUUCUUGAGGUUUCAGCUGAGUUUUAUAGGGGUGAAUCUCAAAAAUUUAUUGAAUGCUGUGAUUGUGGGGAAUAUUUGAAAAAAGCCGAGAAACGUUUGAAUGAAGAGAUGGAGAGAGUGACCCACUACUUGGAUACCAAGAGUGAAGUCAAGAUAACUAAUGUGGUGGAGAAGGAAAUGAUUGCUAACCACAUGCUGAGACUAGUGCACAUGGAUAACUCAGGCCUGGUAAAUAUGCUUCUUGAUGAUAAGUAUGAAGACUUGGGAAGAAUGUAUAACCUAUUCCGUCGGGUUCCUAAUGGUCUUCUAAAAAUACGAGAAGUGAUGACUUCUCACCUCAGGGAGACAGGAAAACAACUAGUUACUGAUCCAGAAAGAUUGAAGGAUCCUGUGGAAUUUGUUCAGCGUUUGCUGGAUGAAAAAGAUAAGUAUGAUAGCAUCAUAAGCUUGGCAUUCAACAAUGAUAAGACAUUCCAGAAUGCUUUGAAUUCCUCUUUUGAAUACUUCAUUAACUUGAAUGCUCGCUCUCCUGAGUUUAUCUCGUUGUUCGUGGACGACAAACUUCGGAAAGGUCUAAAGGGAGUUAGUGAGGAAGAUGUGGAGAUUAUUCUUGAUAAAGUGAUGAUGUUGUUCCGUUACUUGCAGGAGAAAGAUGUAUUUGAGAAGUAUUAUAAACAGCAUUUGGCUAAACGGUUGUUAUCAGGUAAAACUGUCUCUGAUGACGCAGAGAGAAGUUUAAUAGUCAAACUUAAGACUGAAUGUGGAUAUCAAUUCACUUCAAAGUUAGAAGGCAUGUUUACUGACAUGAAGACCUCCCAGGACACAAUGCAAGGGUUUUAUGCAAGCCACCCUGAGCUAGGGGAUGGACCUACACUGGUUGUCCAGGUUUUGACAACGGGAUCUUGGCCAACUCAGCCUAGUGUUACUUGCAACUUGCCUACUGAAAUGUCAGCACUAUGUGAGAAGUUCCGAUCCUAUUACCUUGGAACCCAUACCGGUCGGAGACUCUCCUGGCAGACUAACAUGGGCACAGCAGACAUUAAAGCAACAUUUGGGAAGGGUCAGAAACACGAGUUGAAUGUUUCUACUUAUCAAAUGUGCGUCCUUAUGCUGUUUAACAAUGCUGAUCGGCUUAGCUACAAGGAGAUUGAGCAAGCAACAGAAAUUCCUGCUUCAGACCUGAAGAGGUGCCUGCAAUCUAUGGCUUGUGUGAAAGGAAAGAAUGUGCUUCGAAAAGAGCCCAUGAGUAAAGACAUUGGUGAGGAAGAUGCUUUUUUCGUCAACGACAAAUUUACAAGCAAAUUCUACAAGGUGAAGAUAGGAACUGUAGUUGCACAAAAGGAAUCAGAACCUGAAAAGCAAGAGACUCGGCAGAGAGUGGAGGAGGACAGGAAGCCCCAGAUAGAAGCAGCAAUAGUUAGGAUCAUGAAAUCAAGAAGGGUGUUGGAUCAUAACAAUAUAAUUGCUGAGGUCACAAAGCAGUUGCAGUCGCGAUUUCUGGCCAAUCCCACAGAGAUUAAGAAACGUAUUGAGUCUCUUAUUGAACGAGAUUUCUUAGAGAGGGAUAGUUCUGACAGAAAAUUGUAUCGGUACCUUGCUUAAAAGGAUGGCUUGAGCAGGUUACUCUUUUUUCCUUCUUGUGGGAAGGUUUAAGCAUUACCAAUUGGAUUGUACCUUGGAGCCGUAUUAGUUUCCCUUAAGGUUGCGUCUUGAAUUUUGAUUUUACUACGAAGAGAAGUGAUGUGCCUUUGGUUUGACCACAAAGGGAAAGUUAUUAUCGCCAUCUACCGGUUUCAAGUUCCAAAUAGUUCUGCCUUGCCUCUGUCCCAUGGCGACAGGAUUUUCCUCAAACCUCUGUAAAAUGUUGUACAGGUCGAAUUCUAUAGGCUUUUAUCUUGUAUUUCAGAUUGUGCUGGUUGUUCAGGUGAUUAAUGUUAAUGUUCCUGGAUUAUGAUUA